rnacentral:rRNA from 1 species
UACGUAGGGUGCAGGCGUUAAUCGGAAUUACUGGGCGUAAAGCGCGCGCAGGCGGUCUUUUAAGUCAGAUGUGAAAUCCCCGGGCUUAACCUGGGAACUGCGUUUGAAACUGGAAGGCUAGAGUGUGGCAGAGGGGGGUGGAAUUCCACGUGUAGCAGUGAAAUGCGUAGAUAUGUGGAGGAACACCGAUGGCGAAGGCAGCCCCCUGGGCUAACACUGACGCUCAUGCACGAAAGCGUGGGGAGCAAACAGG